CAGGGACAUUGGCCUAAGCAGCAGGCUCAUCAUAUUUGUGCCUAGUGGUGGGAGAAGACUGGAGCAGAGGACAUGGCAUGGACAUACAGAUGUCUGAAAUCAGAUACAAUUUCUGUCGGGAGCCCAGUAACUUAGAUAACUGAUGUGAAGAUGAAACUGAUGUAAUGUUGAAGAAUGGCCACUGUUCUUUAACCCAAUACCGGACUUCUUGUUUGCAGUUUGCUUUUACAGCGCUGUCAGCACACCUAUGGAGAAUCCCCAAACUAGGCGGUUGCACAUUUGUUCGAUGUUACACUAAGAAAGCUGAAGAUUCGACAGUGGAUGCACUGAGGUUAGUGCUGCACUAGAAGAGUUGCCCCGGUCCCCUGCUUG